rnacentral:rRNA from 1 species
GAUGAACGCUGGCGGCGUGCCUAAUACAUGCAAGUCGAGCGAACGGACGAGAAGCUUGCUUCUCUGAUGUUAGCGGCGGACGGGUGAGUAACACGUGGAUAACCUACCUAUAAGACUGGGAUAACUUCGGGAAACCGGAGCUAAUACCGGAUAAUAUUUUGAACCGCAUGGUUCAAAAGUGAAAGACGGUCUUGCUGUCACUUAUAGAUGGAUCCGCGCUGCAUUAGCUAGUUGGUAAGGUAACGGCUUACCAAGGCAACGAUGCAUAGCCGACCUGAGAGGGUGAUCGGCCACACUGGAACUGAGACACGGUCCAGACUCCUACGGGAGGCAGCAGUAGGGAAUCUUACGCAAUGGGCGAAAGCCUGACGGAGCAACGCCGCGUGAGUGAUGAAGGUCUUCGGAUCGUAAAACUCUGUUAUUAGGGAAGAACAUAUGUGUAAGUAACUGUGCACAUCUUGACGGUACCUAAUCAGAAAGCCACGGCUGACUACGUG